ensembl:rRNA 5S_rRNA 5S ribosomal RNA
GCUUACGGCCAUACCACCCUGAGCACGCCCGUCCUCGUCUGAUCUCGGAAGCUAAGCAUGGCUGGGCUUGGUUAGUACUUGGAUGGGAGACUACCUGGGAAUACCUGGUGCUGUAAGCC